GCGACUAUAGUUUAGUGGUAAAACUCCUGCUUGUGGAGCAGGUAUCGAGAGUUCGAUUCUCUCUAGUCGCCCCA
rnacentral:tRNA from 1 species